AUGCAGGGGUACGGGUUGAACAGAAAAGAGGCCAACGAAAAGGUAACUGAAUUCUUCAAACAACUGUACAACACGAGGGAAGGGGAAGUAACACCAUAUGAGCUACUCGAGCUCCCAGCUCGUUCGAUUUCAGGUGACAUGAAUGACAGCCUAACGAAAAGGUUUACAGUAAAAGAGAUCAGUAAUGUGCUUUUUCAGAUUGGUCUACUGAAGGCGUCAGACAGUUUUCCCGCCCGGUUCUUCCAACAGAACUGGGAAACGUUAAAAAAGCAUGUUAUCAACGUAGUGUUGCAUUUCUUUGAGGAUGGGGUCAUGCUGGAAGGGAUUGAUGCCACGAUCAUAGUGCUAACCCCGAUAGUAAAAAACAAAUCCACAAUGCUGUAA
rnacentral:rRNA from 1 species